GACGAACGCUGGCGGCGUGCUUAACACAUGCAAGUCGAACGGAAAGGCCCUGCUUUUGUGGGGUGCUCGAGUGGCGAACGGGUGAGUAACACGUGAGUAACCUGCCCUUGACUUUGGGAUAACUUCAGGAAACUGGGGCUAAUACCGGAUAGGAGCUCCUGCUGCAUGGUGGGGGUUGGAAAGUUUCGGCGGUUGGGGAUGGACUCGCGGCUUAUCAGCUUGUUGGGGGGGUAGUGGCUUACCAAGGCUUUGACGGGUAGCCGGCCUGAGAGGGUGACCGGCCACAUUGGGACUGAGGUACGGCCCAGACUCCUACGGGAGGCAGCAGUGGGGAAUAUUGCACAAUGGGCGGAAGCCUGAUGCGGCAACGCCGCGUGCGGGAUGCCGGCCUUCGGGUUGUAAACCGCUUUCGCCUGUGACGAAGCGUGAGUGACGGUAAUGGGUAAAGAAGCACCGGCUAACUACGUG
rnacentral:rRNA from 1 species